GUAGGGAAUCUUCCACAAUGGGCGAAAGCCUGAUGGAGCAAUGCCGCGUGAAUGAAGAAGGUCUUCGGAUCGUAAAGUUCUGUUAUUGGAGAAGAACAAGUCGAGUAGUAACUGGCUCGACCUUGACGGUACCCAACUAGAAAGUCACGGCUAACUACGUGCCAGCAGCCGCGGUAAUACGUAGGUGACAAGCGUUGUCCGGAUUUAUUGGGCGUAAAGCGAGCGCAGGCGGUCUUUUAAGUCUGAUGUGAAAGCCCACGGCUCAACCGUGGAUGGUCAUUGGAAACUGGAGGACUUGAAUACAGAAGAGGAAAGUGGAAUUCCAUGUGUAGCGGUGAAAUGCGUAGAUAUAUGGAGGAACACCAGUGGCGAAGGCGACUUUCUGGUCUGUUAUUGACGCUGAGGCUCGAAAGCGUGGGGAGCGAACAGGAUUAGAUACCCUUGUAGUCC
rnacentral:rRNA from 1 species